UGCGGAGGGAUCAUUACACAACAAAAUAUGAAGGCCUGGCUUUCGCGGCCGGCUGAAGUAUUUUUUUCACCCAUGUCUUUUGCGCACUUGUUGUUUCCUGGGCGGGUUCGCCCGCCACCAGGACCAAACCAUAAACCUUUUUUUCUUAUGCAGUUUCCAUCAGCGUCAGUAAAAACAAUGUAAUUAUUACAACUUUCAACAACGGAUCUCUUGGUUCUGGCAUCGAUGAAGAACGCAGCGAAAUGCGAUACGUAGUGUGAAUUGCAGAAUUCAGUGAAUCAUCGAAUCUUUGAACGCACAUUGCGCCCUUUGGUAUUCCAAAGGGCAUGCCUGUUCGAGCGUCAUUUGUACCUUCAAGCUUUGCUUGGUGUUGGGCGUUUUUUUGUCUCCCUCUUUCUGGGAGACUCGCCUUAAAACGAUUGGCAGCCGGCCUACUGGUUUCGGAGCGCAGCACAUUUUUUGCGCUUUGUAUCAGGAGAAAAGGACGGUACUCCAUCAAGACUCUACAUUUUUCACUUUUGACCUCGGAUCAGGUAGGGAUACCCGCUGAACUUAAGCAUA
rnacentral:rRNA from 1 species